ensembl:lncRNA
AUGAUGAACUUAAAAAUACAUGAUAUGAACGUUUUAACCAAAGACACGAUUUUGUUUAAAACAAAAAAGUUAAAAAAAUUAUGCGACAAUGAAGGAAAUAUAAAUAGUAAACAUUUAAAUACUUUAAUAGAAAUAUUAGAAUAUUUUUUUGAAAAUUAUAUGGAAUGUUUUUUGUCACCUGUAGUUUGGGAAAUAGUUGAAAAAAUUAUUUUAUUAGAAAAUGCCAUUGAAGAAAAAAAAAUUAUAGAUGUUGAUUUUGAUACAUCGAUACUAUUUUGUGAAUUUAUUUUCAGUAAAUUAAUAUAUUAUGCAAAUUAUGAAAAUGAUAAUUUCAAUUACUUUUUUAGUUUUAAUUGUUUAAAGAGACAUUUAUGUUCAAUCAUAAGCUCGUUUUUAAAUUUUAACAAUUCAUCACAUAGAAGAAAAAUUGAAGCAUCCUUUACAAACGAGUUAACAAAUUUAAUGAAGCAGAUAUAUGAAAAAAUAAAAGUUGAAAAUGAUUUAGAACUUAAGGUAUCAUAUACAGAAUUUUUAUGGAGGUCUUUUAGAAGAAUAGACAUAAAUACAUUUAACCCAAAACAUUUUAAUGUUGAUAUGAAAACAAUAAAAAGAUUGAAAAAGUUUAAAAUUUUGAAGUUUGACGAAGAAUGUAUAAACUGGUUAAAGGAAGAAAAUUACAUUGACAAAAAACGAUUCAUUGAAAAUGGAUCGUUUAUAAUAGAGGCAAACCAAAACAUAGUGAACAGGGAAUUCCUCAUAUGUUAUUUUGGAAAAUGUUCUGUAUUUAUAUACUAUAAAAGUGAAGAGAUAGAGGAAGACGAAAUUGACGAAAAAUGUAAAAUAGAAAUUCCUUAUUAUCAUAUAAUGUCCAUACAUUUUAAAAGUAAAACAAUAUUUCUAAUGGAUUGCAAAGGGACAGUCGAUCAGACAAAUAUUUUUUGUCUUUGGGGCGAGGAUAUAAAAAAUAGCAUAAAUUACGAAACAACUAAUAUGUUCUCUCUGUCAAUCGAGGUUAAAAAUUGCCCAAAAGAAAUUCGGAAAGACUUAAACAAAUUUUUAAACACGUUAAAUGUGCAAAUAAAACAAACUUUAAAUAAAGACGAAAACAAUAAUGAACCGGAAGCAACUAAUGAUAAGAAAUCUAAAAUAGAAAAAACUGAGACAUUAAGUGAUUUUAUUGACAAAACUUUAAAUAGGGAACUGGAAGACCCUAUGUUUUCUGAUAACGAACAGAUUAUGGACAAUAACAUAAGUGAUAAAAAAUUGCUAAAAAACAACACACAAAAAGGAGUUGUAACUGUGGAACGUGAAGUUGAAAAAAGAAAUAAAGACAAAAAAAGAAAUGGUAAAAAGUCAAAACACUUAAAAUCGUCACAACUGACAAAUCAUAAAAAAACGUGUGAAGACGAAGCAUCUUUAAAAGCAAUAACAGAUAAAACACACAGUCAAGGGGUCUCAGAACAAGACACCGAUACUGAUACUAUGAUAAACAAAAUUCUUUGUACUCAAAAAGAAAAAAAAGACAAAAUGAAAAAUUUUGUAAAAAAAGCAUUUCAUGAAGCUUUAAAUGAAAUAGAUAACAAUAUUAAAUUAUUGAUUGAGGUAUAGGACUUGUUAAUAAAAAUAAACAUAAAAAAAAAAAAAAUGAAAUA